rnacentral:lncRNA from 1 species
GUGAAAGGCUCCAAUUCCUUUAAGGCAUCGAUGCUCAUAUAGCCUUUUCUGGAUUUAGCUGCAACCGAAGGAACUUUGCCAAAUUUAUGAACUUGUAGUAACAUUAUAUAAAAGUAAUUAGACCAUUAUAAUAACUCUUAAAAUAUAUACAAUCGCACAUAUACAAGAUCACUUACAUGUUUAUGAGACCUACCAAUGAUACUAGUUCGACCCCAAUA